rnacentral:rRNA from 1 species
UACGUAGGGGGCAAGCGUUGUCCGGAUUUAUUGGGCGUAAAGAGCGUGUAGGCGGCUUGGUAGGUCCGCUGUGAAAACUCGAGGCUCAACCUCGAGAUGUCGGCGGAAACCACUUGGCUAGAGUCCGGAAGAGGAGAGUGGAAUUCCUGGUGUAGCGGUGAAAUGCGCAGAUAUCAGGAAGAACACCUAUGGCGAAGGCAGCACUCUGGGACGGUACUGACGCUGAGACGCGAAAGCGUGGGGAGCGAACAGG